rnacentral:lncRNA from 1 species
UAAGAGCAAGUCCAACACUAUGCUAAGGGGUUCCCUAAAAAUAUUAUAAAAUAAUAUGUCUUAGUGAUUUAGCACAAGAUUUAGCACAUGAGCUCCAAUGGUACUCCCUAUAUUCAUUCCCUAUUAUUAUAAUAAUAUUAAAUUUAAACAACUUUGGUGUGGAGGAGAGAGGGAAAUGAUGUGAAGAAGAGAGAGAAAUGAAUAUUUUAAUGAUAAAAAUAGUU